GACAGAGGGGCCGAGCGUUAUGCGGAAUCACUGGGCUUAAAGCGUGUGUAGGCGGAUGCCUAAGUACCUUGUGAAAUCCCACGGCUUAACCGUGGAACUGCUUGGUAUACUGGGUGUCUUGAGCCACUUAGGGGCGACCGGAACAAACGGUGGAGCGGUGAAAUGCGUAGAUAUCGUUUGGAACGCCAAUGGUGAAAACAGGUCGCUGGGAGUGUGCUGACGCUGAGACACGAAAGCCAGGGGAGCGAACGGG
rnacentral:rRNA from 1 species